CGUGAAGAUUUAUUCAGUUUCUCUCUCUCUUCUCAAAUGCGCUACCUUUCUCUUAUGUCUCUCUUUCUACUUCGACAAAAAAACAACAAGAAAAGAAAAUGCUUCACUGAAAAUGAAAUUCCCACACAAAAUCUCAACCUUUCCACACUGCAAUCGUGAAACUUCAACCAGAUUUAACCAAAACGUAACUACAAUCAUGAAUCAUUUAAAUCCUUUCGAACUCUAAACUUUCAGAUCAAAAAAAAUCCACCGUGCCGGUUUCUCUCAGGCCACCGCGAGCUUCAUCUCCUCCAAGGCGUGACAACAUAUCCGGUUCAAGAUGAUGCCUUGAAGACUGGCGAACUUGACUAUGUCAGUGCAGGUAUGCAUGAAACUUAUACGGUUGUUGAAUUCUAAUUGUUAAUUUUUUAAGUUAUUAACUGAUAAUAUCAUUUUAUUUAACUAUUUUUCAUUAUUUAAGCUGCACUUGUUUGAUAUUCCAUAGCAGGAAACUUUCUAGGAAUAUCUGAGGUUAAAGUCGUCACCGUCCAUGCCACCAAUAAUUACUUUGUGACUGCAUCACUUGAUGACACUUGUCAAACUCAGGUCUGUUUUCAGACACUUGUCUGACUCAGUUUCAUGCAUGUAUGAGUCUAGAUAGUUUAGCUGGAAAUGUCAUGCAAGAAACAGUUCAUGUAACAGUACCGAGUUUCCACUUGUCUGACUCAGCCUAACCCCAGGGGACUGGGUGUUAAAUGUCUGGAUAGCUGUAAUGUACUUUCCAUUGGAGACAUAAAUUAGUAAGAGUGAGGGGAGGGCCCUGAUAUCCGUUCUUAUUGUAGAAAUAUACUCGUGCUGAGAGACAGGAAUUCUGUGUGCGCUUCUUGACAUAUUUGUUAGUUGGAUUUUGAAUGACAAAUGGAAGUUAUUACUGUAGAAAAGCCCUUAAAUAUAAACAAGAGAAUUUCAUUUUAAUGCUCCUGUUACACAUCUUGUAUCAUAGACUCACUUUGUUGUAAAAGACAAUGAUGUCGUUGGUUCACAGGUUAUCGGUGCAUUGGGAAUUCCGGUUGAGAACUUAUGUAAUGGUUCCAAACUUGAAGGUGUUUUCCCCAUUCUUAACACUAAUGGAAAGCCCUUUAAGACUACUACAAUUUUGAGCUUAUCAAUUCAGUAUACUCCUGUUGAUAAGGUGGAAAAGUUACACUUUAUCAAGAUGCUCAUGUUCCACAAGAAAAGGUGGAAAAGGACAUAUAGCUGGGUGAAACGACAGGAAGCUGGAACAAUCUAUUCACAUCAUCAGAAGACAGAUGUCAACAUAAGAGAAAGAUUGUAGCUUUCAUUGAAGGUCUUGAUUUAUGUUUGGGAAGAUAUGAUACUCCUGAACAUUCUCUCUUUAGGACUUUGCAGACAGCACACAAAGAUGAUUUUUUAUAAUCAUAACUUUGAGUUCUCAACGGCAGUGCUACGGUUACGUCGUUCAAACGACGAGAGUGAUAUAAUCCUUUUUGGUGCCAUUGAUGUAUAGUACAAGCUCCAAAAUGGCCAGAAGAAAAUACUAAGUGGAGCUUUUGCACUAUACUCAUUGAUUUGUAGGCAUAUAAAAGUGAGUUUGGCACCCAAUCAACAACUAGAGGACAUGGAGCUUUCUAACUACAAACUUAAAAUACCAUCUUACAAGCAUAAAAGAGCCAAUAAAAUUAAGCAAAUGAUUGAGCAUAGUCACUUUGCCAAAAUUGUUCUCUUACUUCUAGCUAUCAUGGGAACUUCCAUGGUUAUAGGAGAUGGCACUCUCACUCCUUCCAUUUCAAUACUUUCUGCUGUUAGUGGAAUCAGUUCAUCACUAGGUCAAAAUGCUGUUAUGUGAAUUACUGUAGAAAUUUUGGUGGAAUUGGUCUCUACAAUUUAUUUAAACAUGACCUUGGAGUAUUAAAUGCUUUUAAUCCAAAAUAUAUAGUUGAUUAUUUCAAAAGAAAUGGUAAAGAAGGUUGGAUAUCGUUAGGUGGAUUCUUCCUAUGUAUAACAGAUCCUUUGUAUUGGCCUACAUUUGACAGAAGGUUUCAGCAUCAAAAGCUCUGCCCCAUCACACACCCACGGUAUUCAGCCCUUAGGCAAUCUCUAUUCAAAGUUAGAGACUUUUAUUCUGAUUAUCUUUUUCAGAGUUGGUUGUGUGCUAAUUGAAAUGAAACGUGAAUGGUUGGAGAGGGAUAAUAUUGUUUGAAAGAAAGGCUUUUCGGUUGAGGAAUUAGUGAUGAAUAUCCAAAAUACUCUCCGAGUUUCUUCCUAGUCAUGAUGGUGCAGAGGUGGCGUCUCCUGUUUUAAUAAUGGAAUGGUUCAUGAACUUUUAUGGUGCAAAGAAUUGGAAAAAGAGACCAAUUGAGUGCAUAUGUCAAGCCGGGGAAGUCAUAUUUAUGCCGAAUGGAUUGUGGCAUUUGGUGAUCAACCUGGAGGAAUCUAUUGCCAUAAUACAAACUAUGUUAGCAGGUCUCCUAUCAGGUCAACUGAACAAUUUGGCGAAAGGAGCCUAUCAGGUCAAUUGAACAAUUCGGCGGAAGGAUCCUAUAAAGAACAUCCACUGCAUUCAUUUCAACAUCUGCAACAGCAAGUGCAUUAGAUGGAUUUUCACUCAGUAACCUAACAAUGCAGCAAUUAGAGUUAGUGCCUAUUUGUACCAAUAUUUAUUAUUAUUGUUUUAAUGUUGUAUCUUAUUUAGUAGAAGCAAUUCAUAUAUCUAGUUGAAGGGACCCAUAUUUUGUAAAUUCAUGAGUUUUCACAUUAAAUUAUUGCGUAAAAAAAUUAC